UUUCACCUCUGAACCCAAUUUACCCCUUCUCGUGUCCGUCACCGUGAGCUUGCCCUCGCCGUCGCCGUGAGCUCGCCCUCGCAGUCGUCCGUCAUCGUCGCCGUGAGCUCGCCCUCGCAGUCGCCGUGAGCUCGUCCUCGCAGUGACCAACGUUGUGUCCAUCGCCGUCGCUCGUCGCCAUCGCCGUGAGCUCGCCCUUGCGGUCGCUGUCGCCCUCGUAGUCGCCUUGGGCCUCAUCUUGGGUAAGGCCCACCCUUAAUUAAGUCCCCGCAGUCAGCCUAAACCCUAACCCAAUUUCUUUCUCUCUUUCUCCCACUCCCUCCCACCACCUCCUCUCUCAAACAUCAAGAUCAUUGGAGAUCGAAAGACGGUUGUAAACGGAGCUCACAUGGGUCCGAUGAAUGGCGGAGAUCGGCAAAUGGAGUACGAUCAAGAGCAGGAUCACGAUGUCCGGCAAACCAACGGUGGUGAUGGGCUCGAUGGUCCACUUAGGAUAUAAACACGAUCCUCAAGCUAAGUUCCCCGGAUGCUAGAUGCCAACUAUGAUAUGCAAAUUUUUUGUGGUGUAUAAAUAUAUAUUUCGAGUUUGUAAGUGCCAUGGAAGUAGAUAAUCUGAAAGUCUUUUGAGUGCUAUUUUGUGUGUAUAAAUAUAUGUUUGGAGUUUGAUUUGUAAAAUAUUGUUCUCAGUUUGUUAGACUGAAAGUAGAUAAUGAAAGUUAGUCUCAAUAGUGUUA